rnacentral:rRNA from 1 species
CCCUUAGAUGUUCUGGGCUGCACGCGCGCUACACUGAUGCGAUCAACAAGUUUUUCCUAUGUCGAUAGACACGGGUAAUCUUUUGAACUCGCAUCGUGAUGGGGAUAGAUUAUUGUAAUUAUUAAUCUUCAACGAGGAAUUCCUAGUAGGUGCAAAUCAUCAGUUUGCAUCGAUUACGUCCCUGCCCUUUGUACACACCGCCCGUCGCUGCUACUGAUUGGUUGAUCUGGUGAAUUAUUCGGACUGCCGGCUGAAGGGGUUUCCUCAUCUGCCAGCGGAAAGUCUUGUUAACCCUAUCAACUAGAGGAAGCAGAAGUCGUAACA